GGAGGGAACAACACAGUUGCUAUGCCUGACUAGGGCAUGACCUGGGAGGCCUUUGGGGCCACACAGCCUCCUUGGGAAAGGAGGAUCAGGUGGGCCUCACACCCAGGAAUUGGAAGUGGGAGAGACAACAGCUGCUGGGUAGUGGGGGUAGAGCUGUGUCUCUCACUGCCCUGCCCCUCCAAGGACCAAGAAGAAAGGAAUGAGCCCCGAUCCGCCUGCCAGGUACCCACCCAUGAGAACCCCUUCUCUGCCAGCAUCUGAUAAAAUUACCUGCGUAGCUUUAGAGAUCACUGCUGCCUGACCAGCAGCCGCUCUGCUGGAAUCUGUCCAGAAAGCCCCUUGGGGCUCAGAAAAGUAGUAGAGAUGGGGUUCCAUCCAUCCAUUCCAGAAGCAUUUGGCAAGCACAUCCUGGGUGCCAGGCCCAAGCAGGCUGGUCUCAAACUCCUGACCUCAAGUGAUCCGCCCACCUCGGCCUCCCAAAGUGCCGGGAUGACAGCUGUGAGCCACCGCGCCCCGCCCAGAAGCAGAGGUGUUUUAACGGGAAGACUUCAGGCUUCAUCGGACGGCCGGGAAGGAAUCAGAGCAGGGGUUUCUUCCGAGAUGGCCAGUGGUCACCUGAGAUGGAGCAGAGAGCACCUGUGGCGGGCAUCUUCUCUAGAAGCCGCCUGUGAGCCCUACGGAGGCCCUGGGCUUCGUGCCGUAAGACAGACGGUGUCCUGCAGGCCUCCCAUGGAGACACCAUGUGUGAUUGUAAAAAA
rnacentral:lncRNA from 1 species